UACGAAGGGGGCUAGCGUCGCUCGGAAUGAUUGGGCGUAAAGGGUGCGCAGGCGGUAUAUUAAGUCAACUGUUAAAUUCCUCAGCCUAACUGAGGCCCAGCGGUAGAUACUGGUAUACUUGAGAGCGGAAGAGAGAAGUGGAAUUCUCGGAGUAGCGGUAAAAUGCGUAGAUCUCGAGAGGAACACCGAUGGCGAAGGCAGCUUCUUGGUCCAUUUCUGACGCUCAUGCACGAAGGCGCGGGGAGCAAACAGG
rnacentral:rRNA from 1 species